UACGUAGGGUGCAAGCGUUAAUCGGAAUUACUGGGCGUAAAGCGUGCGCAGGCGGUUUUGUAAGUCUGUCGUGAAAUCCCCGGGCUUAACCUGGGAAUUGCAUUUGUGACUGCACGGCUAGAGUGUGUCAGAGGGGGGUAGAAUUCCACGUGUAGCAGUGAAAUGCGUAGAGAUGUGGAGGAAUACCGAUGGCGAAGGCAGCCCCCUGGGAUAACACUGACGCUCAUGCACGAAAGCGUGGGGAGCAAACAGG
rnacentral:rRNA from 1 species